GCCGAGAGCUGCAGCUCCAAAGGAACGGAGCGAGCCUUGACAGGAGGGCAGGAAAUAAACUGAAAGAAAAUCACUGCAAGCUCAAACGCCCUCAGUGUGGUCGAGAAUGAGCUCAGUAAUUUAAACAUGCGGCUGCUUCGCAAGCCUCACAGCCUGCGCCACCCAGACGACGAGCACCUGAAGGAAGGAGCUAUUUAAGCACCCGUUAUCCCUCUCUCGCUGAGACCCUGCCGCUGUCUCAUUCCUCUCCCCGAGCGCACGGACGGACUGGAAACAGAGGACGAAAAGCUUGAUCUUCAAGUGUCUCAUCUACUGAGUGCUGUCCUCUUACAAAAAUGAAAUUAAAGGGCGGCAUAUUGAAUCGCAGAGUGUGCCCUGGCCACUGGUCGAGGCGGAGAGCUGGCCGAGCCGAGGGCUUGGCAAACACUGUCUGUUUUCAUUGUGAAGACAUCCGGAAACGUGGUGUAAAGAAAGAGCUAUAGAUCUAUGAAUAGGUGUAGCACAUCUACAUCUCUCCUUGGAUCGCCACCGGUCAGUGUUGCCAGAUAUAUGCUAAUUGUCCUAAUUAUACCAUAGUUUCAGGAUAGGAAGCUAUUGUAAAUAUGCAAUA